GAUGAAGAACGUAGUGAAAUGCGAUACGUAGUGUGAAUUGCAGAAUUCAGUGAAUCAUCGAAUCUUUGAACGCACAUUGCACCUCUCGGUAUUCCGGGAGGUAUGCCUGUUCGAGCGUCAUUUGUACCCUCAAGCUCUGCUUGGUGUUGGGUGUUUGUUCCGCCUCUGUGUGUGAACUCGCCUCAAAACAAUUGGCAGCCGGCGUACUUGUUUCGGAGCGCAGCACAUUUUGCGAUCCAGAUCAACGUACAGCGGCAUCCAAGAAGCCUUAUUUAACGCUCUUGACCUCGGAUCAGGUAGGGAUCCCCGCUGAACUUAAGCAUAUCAAUAAGCGGAGGA
rnacentral:misc_RNA from 1 species